rnacentral:rRNA from 1 species
AGAGUUUGAUCAUGGCUCAAUUGAACGCUGGCGGCAUGCCUUACACAUGCAAGUCGAACGGUAACAGGUCUUUCGGGAUGCUGACGAGUGGCGAACGGGUGAGUAAUACAUCGGAACGUGCCUAGUAGUGGGGGAUAACUACUCAAAAGAGUGGCUAAUACCGCAUGAGAUCUAUGGAUGAAAGCGGGGGACCUUCGGGCCUUGUGCUACUAGAGCGGCCGAUGGCAUAUUAGGUAGUUGGUGGGAUAAAAGCUUACCAAGCCUGCUAUCUGUAUCUGGUCUGAGAGGACGAUCACCCACUCUGGGACUGACACACGGCCCACACUCCUACGGGAGGCAGCAGUGGGGAAUUUUGGACAAUGGGGGAAACCCUGAUCCAGCAAUGCCGCGUGCAGGAUGAAGGCCUUCGGGUUGUAAACUGCUCUUGUACGGAACGAAAAGUCUUGGGCUAAUACCCUGGGAUCAUGACGGUACCGUAAGAAUAAGCACCGGCUAACUAC